AGAGUUUGAUCCUGGCUCAGAACGAACGCUGGCGGCGUGCCUAACACAUGCAAGUCGAACGGGAUUGAGGGGCUUGCUCCUCAAUUUAGUGGCGCACGGGUGAGUAACGCGUAGAUAAUCUGCCUGACGAUCUGGGAUAACACUUCGAAAGGGGUGCUAAUACCGGAUAAGCCCACGGGGACUUUGGUCUUUGCGGGAAAAGGGGGGGACCUUUUGGCCUUCUGUCGUCAGAUGAGUCUGCGUACCAUUAGCUAGUUGGUAGGGUAAAGGCCUACCAAGGCUACGAUGGUUAGCUGGUCUGAGAGGAUGAUCAGCCACACUGGAACUGAGACACGGUCCAGACUCCUACGGGAGGCAGCAGUGGGGAAUUUUGCGCAAUGGACGAAAGUCUGACGCAGCAACGCCGCGUGGGUGAUGAAGGUCUUCGGAUUGUAAAACCCUGUCGUCAGGGACGAAGGUUGGGAUCCUAAUACGAUUUCAGCUUGACGGUACCUGGAGAGGAAGCCCCGGCUAACUCUGUGCCAGCAGCCGCGGUAAUACGGGGGGUGCAAGCGUUGUUCGGAUUUAUUGGGCGUAAAGCGCGUGUAGGCGGUUUUAUAAGUCUGAUGUGAAAGCCCUGGGCUCAACCCGGGAAGUGCAUUGGAUACUGUAAGACUUGAAUACGGGAGAGGGCAGUGGAAUUCCUAGUGUAGGAGUGAAAUCCGUAGAUAUUAGGAGGAACACCGGUGGCGAAGGCGGCUGCCUGGACCGAUAUUGACGCUGAGACGCGAAAGCGUGGGUAGCAAACAGGAUUAGAUACCCUGGUAGUCC
rnacentral:rRNA from 1 species